GAUGAACGCUGGCGGCGUGCUUAACACAUGCAAGUCGAACGAAGCACCUUAUUCUGAUUUCUUCGGAAUGAAAAAUUUGGUGACUGAGUGGCGGACGGGUGAGUAACGCGUGGGUAACCUGCCUCAUACAGGGGGAUAACAGUUAGAAAUGACUGCUAAUACCGCAUACGACCACAGCACCGCAUGGUGCAGGGGUAAAACCUCCGGUGGUAUGAGAUGGACCCGCGUCUGAUUAGGUAGUUGGUGGGGUAGCGGCCUACCAAGCCGACGAUCAGUAGCCGACCUGAGAGGGUGACCGGCCACAUUGGGACUGAGACACGGCCCAAACUCCUACGGGAGGCAGCAGUGGGGAAUAUUGCACAAUGGGGGAAACCCUGAUGCAGCGACGCCGCGUGAGCGAUGAAGUAUUUCGGUAUGUAAAGCUCUAUCAGCAGGGAAGAAAAUGACGGUACCUGACUAAGAGGCACCGGCUAAAUACGUGCCAGCAGCCGCAGUAA
rnacentral:rRNA from 1 species